ACUCAAAUGAAUUGACGGGGGCCCGCACAAGCGGUGGAGCAUGUGGUUUAAUUCGACGCAACGCGAAGAACCUUACCUGGGCUCGAACGGCUUCUGAAUGGCUUUAGAAAUGGAGUCGGUCCCGCAAGGGACAGGAGUCGAGGUGCUGCAUGGCUGUCGUCAGCUCGUGUCGUGAGAUGUUGGGUUAAGUCCCGCAACGAGCGCAACCCUUGUCCUGUGUUGCCAACCCGCGAGGGUGCACUCUCAGGAGACCGCCAGCGAUAAGUUGGAGGAAGGUGGGGAUGACGUCAAGUCAUCAUGGCCUUUAUGUCCAGGGCUACACACGUGCUACAAUGGGCGGUACAAAGCGCAGCCAACCCGCGAGGGGGAGCUAAUCGCCAAAAACCGUUCUCAGUUCGGAUUGCAGGCUGCAACUCGCCUGCAUGAAGCUGGAAUCGCUAGUAAUGGCAUAUCAGAACGAUGCCGUGAAUACGUUCCCGGGCCUUGUACACACCGCCCGU
rnacentral:rRNA from 1 species